rnacentral:rRNA from 1 species
UGGGGAAUAUUGGACAAUGGGCGCAAGCCUGAUCCAGCCAUGCCGUGUGAGUGAUGAAGGCCCUAGGGUUGUAAAGCUCUUUCACCGGUGAAGAUAAUGACGGUAACCGGAGAAGAAGCCCCGGCUAACUUCGUGCCAGCAGCCGCGGUAAUACGAAGGGGGCUAGCGUUGUUCGGAUUUACUGGGCGUAAAGCGCACGUAGGCGGACUAUUAAGUCAGGGGUGAAAUCCCGGGGCUCAACCCCGGAACUGCCUUUGAUACUGGUAGUCUUGAGUUCGAGAGAGGUGAGUGGAAUUCCGAGUGUAGAGGUGAAAUUCGUAGAUAUUCGGAGGAACACCAGUGGCGAAGGCGGCUCACUGGCUCGAUACUGACGCUGAGGUGCGAAAGCGUGGGGAGCAAACAGG